rnacentral:rRNA from 1 species
CCAUUAGACGUUCUGGGCCGCACGCGCGCUACACUGACGAAGGCAACGAGCUUUCCUUUACCGAAAGGUACGGGUAAUCUUUUGAAACUUCGUCGUGCUGGGGAUAGAUCCUUGCAAUUUUUGAUCUUAAACGAGGAAUGCCUAGUAAGCGCAAGUCAUCAACUUGCGUUGAUUACGUCCCUGCCCUUUGUACACACCGCCCGUCGCUACUACCGAUUGAAUGGUUUAGUGAGGCCUUCGGAUCCGCGACUCGUUUGUGGAGAAGUUGGACAAACUCAGUCAUUUAGAGGAAGUAAAAGUCGUAACA